ensembl:lncRNA
UGUCCCCCUCUCGCCGUCCCCCCCCCUCCUCGCUCCACUCCCGGGGGCUGCCGCCGCCCGGAGCCCCGAGGCUCCCCUCGGGCGGUCCCGCGGCCACGGGGGGCGGGCGGCGCCGCUCCGCCCCGGCCCGCCCCGCCGCCCCCCCGCCGCGUCUCGACAGCAUCGCUAAAGAUAAGGGCUGCGCGGAGCCGAGCCGAGCGGAGAGGGGACGCCGCCGCGGGCCAUGGGGCAGAGACGGCGGAGCCCCGGGGCGGCAGAGCGGGGCUGUGCCGCCGAGGGGGCGGCGGGCGGCGGUGGCAGUGGCAGUGGCAGUAGUGGCAGCGGUCGCGGCAGCGGUCGCGGACGGCUGGCGGAGUCCUGGCGGCGGCUGAGCUCACGGCGAGGCUCCGCCAAACGCAGCGGAAACUCCGCGCCCGCGCCGCCGAGGAGAGAAAGCAAGGUAGCUGCUUCACUGCUGUUGACUGGGUAGGAUGUUGCACAUGCCUUACCACCUUCCACUUCAGGAAGAUGCCAAGAUUGAGGACUUGCUGAAGUUAAACCAGACAUUUUUCCAGGUUCUAUGGUUUCACACUUUCUAUGUGGAAUAAAAUCUAAAACUUGGCUUCCUCAUAUGUCACCUCAGCUAUCCUAGUAACAAUCACAGCUACAAGCUGCAGUUUGUAAGAUUGUAUGCAGUUAUUUUCCCUGUUUCUUUCCAAUGUUUCCCUAUGCUUCUCACACUCAUAAAUUUCCUCAUUAGUGCUCAGGCCUUCAUUUUGAAUCAAGAGCAAAGUAAUAAUUUGGCUGCUGUGUAGGAACACCAACAAAACUUCUCCAUGAGGAUUGUUAAACUAAGCAGUGUUUAAAAAAAAAAAAAAAAAAUGACUGCUGUCAGAGGUUAUUCUGAGGGCAAAUUUAUCACUGCAUUGUUACCUUAUCAUCUGUGGAAGAUAGGUGAACAGAAUUAUCUCAGAAAAAUAUCCAACCAAAGCUAUUUGUUAAAAAAAAAAAAAAAAAAAUGACUGCUGUCAGAGGUUAUUCUGAGGGCAAAUUUAUCACUGCAUUGUUACCUUAUCAUCUGUGGAAGAUAGGUGAACAGAAUUAUCUCAGAAAAAUAUCCAACCAAAGCUAUUUGUUUACACCUUUUCUUGAUUUACUUUUUGUAUCCUUUCCUUACCACUUUGCUUCUUUUGCAUCUUUUGCAUCUUUUCCUUAGGACUUUUUUUCCUCUAUGUGUGAUUCUGUGAUUUCGUAGUUUUACCAAAAUGGUAAAUAGAACUGAAUGGAUUUAAUGGAAGGAAUGGGUUAAGCACAUGAAGAGAUAAUCCUAACGUUUUCUCAGCUCUAUUACAUUCUUAUUUCAAAAUUUAUUAUACUUACUAAAAUCUUAUUUAUUCAAUGAGCUUUUAAAAUUUUGCUUUACUAUUUUAAUUGUGAUGCAUAUGCAUACAGCUUGUUAGACAUAUCAAGCUAUAGAACUUGGAGUAAAGAUGGACUUUUAAAGGUUAAGGCAAUGGUUGUGUUUCCUAAGCUUCCUUUCUGUAGCUGCUUGCAGUCAUAAAACUUAGUCAAUAUAAAAUGCUAUAUAAAUUAAGCACUGUUGCAUGCUGAGCUCUAAUAUUUUUGAUGGAAAGUAAAUCUGUGGCCUGACAUUUUGUGCAAGAGUAGUGUGUGUUACUAAAUUGUGUAUAAACAUUAGUAGGUUAGCACUGUUCUCUAGAGCAGAAGGUCCCUACUGAGGGCUUGUUGCAAGGAAAGAGCUCAUCAGAGCAUUAUUUAGUUUAAUUUAACCAUCUGUGUUACCUUGGCAUUGCAAGUAAUAUUUAUCUGACUUUACAGCUGAUUUCAGGAAGCUCAGCUGCCAAGAUACAAAGUUUAAAGUAAUCAGAUAAUAGGAAGGCAAAAUAUUCCUCUGGAUAAAGAAUAAAGAGCAAAGACUUUCAAUACUAUCACUAAAUAAAAUCAGUGUUUCAGCACUGGAAAACGUCAAAAGCAAUUGAAGUGUCGCUUUUUAAAGAUGAUCCAGUUACUCCUACUACCCUAUCCCACGAUCCUUUGAAAAUAACCUCUGAAAACUAGUUGCACAUGUGUAAUUUAAAAAUGCUAAACCAAACAAAAAACAAAACAAACAAACAAACAAAAAAAUCCAUAGCUAAAGGCUAAAGCUGUAGUGUAAAAGUAUAGACUAGGUCAUUUUGUGUGGGUUGUUUCUCCAAGCAGCUAAGUGUUCUACUUAUAACCAUGUUGUGGUAAUAUUGUAGCUAUUUUGAAGAAUUAUUAAAUACCAACUUUUGCUUUCUAUAAUAAGAAAGGAUGCUUUAUUCAUGUAAAAGAAUGGGCAAAAAUUCAAAAUGAGAUUUAAAAUGCUGGCAUCCUUCCAGGAGGAGACAAGAAUCUUGACAUGGAGCAGAUGUCUUUAUUAAUUAGUUCCUACAAAAUUGUAGACUCCAUUGUUUGGUGUUGUUUUUAAACCUUCUGCAGUUUGACAGUAGUGAUGAUUUGUCAUACGUCUUAUUGAUUUGUGGGUUUCACUCUUUCUAGGGUCCAAAAAGUCCCAUAAAGGGAUAUCAAUAAUGUAUAUAUGUAUCCACUCAUUCUGAGGAAAAAAAUAUUUUAGCAAUAUAUUUGUGGUCUGCAUAGAUGCUAUGAGUUACAUAACCACAUCAAAAAUAAGAGGAAAAGGUUUAGCGAUUUGGAUUUUCCUGCUAUGUGCAUUCGUCAUUUUUGUUUCCAUAGGUGGAAAAGGACAUGCCAGGAUCCUUGUGACCAUUAGACUUCCAC